rnacentral:lncRNA from 1 species
UGGACACCUUGGGGUACAUCAGCCAUUGGAGCAGCUUCCUGUUUCAGACACUCAUAUUGCAGCAUUGACUCCUCCUCAAGUUACUGUCCAUGCAUGUAGCUCCCCAUUCCACAAACUCUUCCACCCAGCCUGAAUGGUGAGAUGUCUUUGAGAGUAGUACUUCAUUCAUCUCUGUUAGCCUUUAUCCUGAUGAGAUUACCUCAUUUAUCCAGAGUAGUUUAAGGGGUAGGUCAGGGUAGGUUCCUCAGGGUAGAUUCAGAGCUUGCCUUGGGCUUGUGAGCUUCAUCAAGCCUCAUUUUCUUCAUCUGUAUAAUGGGAAUCUUCAACAGCCCACACUUGAGGAUUUAGUGAGUUAAUAAUAGCAGAGUAGUUAGAACAGCACCUGGCAUAUUGUACAAAGGAAAUGUUGGCUGUCCUCUACCCUCACAGUGCUGAGAUCAUCACACUGUUCGGGUCCCUCCAUGUCCUUGAAUCUGCUCAGCAAGCCCUCAUAUCCGCAGGCAACAUGGCAGUGGAGUCAGGGCAUCCAGCGUGCCGGCACAGGCUGGGAGACAAGGCACUCGAGCCUUGUUCAUUCUUGCUUCUGCUUGCUUUCUGUCUUUAGUUUGAGGGAUCAUUUUGGAUUUUGCUUUAUGCAUGUUUGUUGUUAUUUUAAAUAUUUUUUUUUUUUGGUACUGGAGAUCGAACUCGGGACCUUGUGCUUUCGAGGCAGGCGGCGAAACCACUGAGCCAAAUCCCCAGCCCGAUGAUUAUUAUUUUAAAUCUGUCUCAGGAACACUUCCUGACACUCGGCCUGGACAAGUGGCCAAUAUAAAUCCCUGCCCCCGUGUGCUUCUUCUCCAUGUCUCUUUCAUCAGAUUUCCUCCUCUGGGCUCUGCCUUCAGAUUCCUUCACUCCUCAUCAGAUCUGAUUGUGCACCUCUCUGCCGGACAUGCUUCUGCACACGGGGGCACAGCUGGGAUGUGAGCGUCCUGGGGAAGAUGCCAUAGUCAUCUCUUGGUCCCACGAUGCUAAGUCUGGAUGAGCUGGUAUUGACCCCUUUGCCUGAUGAUCCCAUUUGCUCUCGUCUGUUCACCUUGUGGGUAUUAAACCACUUGAGAUCUUGCAUUCUCCUUUUUAUUAUUUUCUCUUACUCAUUAAGAAGAGAAUAGGAGGGCCGGGGAUUUAGCUCAGUGGUUUCACUGCCUGCUGUGCAAGCGCAAGGACCCAAGUUUGACACCCGGUACCAAAAAAAAAAGAGAAUAGGAACCUGGGCUUAGUGGCACACACCUGUAAUCCCAGCACUCGGAAGGCUGAGGCAGGAGGAUCACUGUGAGUUUGAGGCCAGCCUGGGCUACAUAGCGAGACCCUGUCUCGAAAGAAAGAAAGAGAGAAAGAGAAAGAAAGAAAGGGAGGGAGGGAGGGAAGGAAGGAAAGAAGGAAAGACUUCCUACAGGGAUAAAAUCAGAGAAAAUUUGUAGAUAUACCAUAAAAUUCAUUUUUGGGUUUUGACAUAUUGUACCACCACAAUCAUACAGAACAGUUCCGUCUGCCCAAAACUUUGUGACCUGGCAGAGCCAGGGUUUGUUUAUCCAUUUGCCUGUUGAGGGAGAUUUGGACUGUUUCUAGUUUGGGGUGAUUAUGUAUAAAACUGCUAUAAACAUUCAACUAAAAGUUUUUUUUUAAUUGAAUAACUAUUUAUUUAUUUAUUUACCUCCCCAUAGCCGUUACAUACC